GCGAGCGUGGCGGAAUUGGCAGACGCGCUGGGUUUAGGUCCCAGUGACCACUGGUCGUGGGGGUUCGAGUCCCCCCGCUCGCACCA
rnacentral:tRNA from 1 species